rnacentral:rRNA from 1 species
GAUGAACGCUAGCUACAGGCUUAACACAUGCAAGUCGAGGGGUAACGAGAGGAAAGCUUGCUUUCCUUGUCGACGACCGGCGCACGGGUGAGUAACGCGUAUCCAACCUGCCCCCAACUAGGGAAUAACCUUGCGAAAGUAAGACUAAUACCCUAUAAUUUCCUCAGAUGUCAUCUGACGAGGAAUAAAGAUUUAUCGGUUGUGGAUGGGGUUGCGUCUGAUUGGCUUGUUGGCGGGGUAACGGCCCACCAAGGCAACGAUCAGUAGGGGUUCUGAGAGGAAGGUCCCCCACAUUGGAACUGAGACACGGUCCAAACUCCUACGGGAGGCAGCAGUGAGGAAUGUUGGUCAAUGGGCGGAAGCCUGAACCAGCCAAGUAGCGUGCAGGAUGACGGCCCUAUGGGUUGUAAACUGCUUUUAUACAGGAAUAAAGUUAGCCACGUGUGGUUAUUUGUAGGUACUGUAUGAAUAAGGACCGGCUAAUUCCGUGCCAGCCGCCGCCGUAA